rnacentral:lncRNA from 1 species
CAUCACGCCGUACGAAAAGAACUGCUAAGCCUCGAGGUUGCGAUGUAUCGCUGGGAGACUUACUACGCAGCAGACCCUCUUCGUUCGUUUCACAUGGGAAAUGAUAUCCGUGUUCAAGCUGCAAGUGCAGACGUUUCUCCUCAUUUCAGCGGUUUUUGUCAUGAUUCACGUGUGUGGAGACACGCGACUUUGUGCACCAGCUUCUCUGCUGGCUCUCAGGAUGCAUACCUUACUGGUGGAAACCAUGGAUGUCCACUCUGGUCAAGAGCCAUGCCUGUACCAUGCGAUUCCUAUUACAGCAGUUUACGUUUAUAGAGCGCUUUACAUGAGAAUGGCUGAUGUAAACAGUGGCGAUCGGGCCAAAUUUCGUGGGUGUGUUGACUCUAGCGAGCAUUGGAAAGAACAG